UAUAUAUAUAUAAUCCCAGUACAACUGAUUAUAUAGAGAUGUAUUUAAUUCAAACAUGGUUAUAACUGAUUGCUUCUUUCGUGUAAUUCAAACCUAUGAUAUUUCUACUUGUGUGGAAAUGGCACUUUACUUGAAUGCGUGAUCUUGCUUGUGCUGUCACUGGUGAAGAUGAGCUUGUAUGAACAAGAAGUCACUUGCUGACUAGGAGAUCACAGCCGCAACCCCAUUCUUAUCUUGAUUCUUUAUGUUCUUGCUGUUGAAAUUCAAUCUUGUCAUGGUCAGUAGGAAUUUUCCGCCUAAUUGGGAAUCCUUGGUUUUGCAGGUGCGAGACAAUUCUUCAGACUGGCUUGCACAAUACGAAUUUAAAAGAAUCGAGCAAAGGCAAGGCACCGGGACAAGAAGUUUUAUACUUUGAUGAAGAAUAAUGUGGCGCGCGAAUGCCACCACUGUUCACAUUUUAAACAAAAAAGAGGAACUCCUGAAGGCCUGAAGGAAAUAUGCCCACCCAAAGCCCACGCCAGCUGCUAAAUCAAAAUCUGCCAAGUCCAUGCCUCAAAAGUCUGCCAACUAGGAGGAAGGCACAAGUAGCAAAGAUGAGACAAUCAAGAUACACUAGACAACUUUGCCUGCAAUUAAUGGAUACUUCCAUCAUGAACAGUCUAGCAACUCCAUUUGCGAGAGUUAAGACAAAAGAGAUAAUUAAGACUGACGAGACUGCUUUAACCGGUAAAUAUCGGCAAGCACUUUCAUCACAAACAGUCCAGCAGCUCCACAACCACGCAACAAAUUUUCUCUGUUGGAUGCAAAGAAGAGAAGGAGAAAUAGAUCAGCAAACAAAAAAGAGCAGUCUGAAAGCAGUUCUGCUGCAAUGGAUGCGGGAAAAACUGUCAGCAGCACGUUAAGUGAAAGAAAGAGAAAAUCUUGGACAACCCUGAAGGAAAUUGUGGAGAAAAGAACACGAUAGGAGUCGAAACAUUAUAAGUUUGACAAAGCCAAUGUUUAUUUAACAAAGGAAAAUCAUUUUAGCAUUUUAGACUGCUGCUGAUAUUUUCAUGGCCAAUCCUUUUCAAUGUGUAAACAACUCUGAAGGGGAAAAAAAGAAGAGUUUCAAACUUUAUUCCAGAAAGGAGAAGGUCACGAAAUGGGGACCCAGUUUUGGAAAAUAACAAAUGUAUAUACCCCACCACCUCAUGCCUCUUCUACCAAAACUUGACGUUUUUAGUGUAAUCCUUGCAUGAUUAAUUUAAUAACUCAUAGCAAUUACUCCUUAAAAAAAUAAUAAAAAUAGCUAUUGUCUGGUUUGUUUUAUUGAUCAGACGCGGUUUUUAUCCUGGACCUAUUUUGUGGAGGAUUUGGAGUUUGUGCGGGGUAACAGAAUUGGGGAGUGAAAAUGAGGAGCAAACUCUCCUGAACUUGAAGCGGCUUCUGGGAAAAUGUACAUUUACAGGGAAAGGAACUGAAAUGAUUGAUGGAAUACAGAGUUCUUGUUUUGCUUCUUUCAGUUGUUUUUAUUCUUUGACUGCUUCUAGGGUUUUCAUGUUUGAGUAAUUCCUUGUUAUAGGGUGUUGUGGUCAAGUUAGGUUAGCUAAUUGGACAAUUUUGAAAUUUAAGCUGUCAACUGUUUGUGUGUUUAAAUUUGAUGCGGAGAUGCUUCACUUGUUUUGAGGACCUUUGUGUGGAAUCAUGGUUGCAUUUGCUUUCUUUUUUUCCUUAUUGUUCAUGUCAUCCUCAGGUUAUAUCUUUCUGUUUCUGGUUUCCUUGUCCUGCAGGAGGAUCAUGUGCUUCUAGCUCCUGAAACUAAAGAGCACAAUCCUGGCAUUGCACCUAUCAAGACCAACGGACUUGUCAUUCUAUUGACAGGAGAUUACUCAGACCAUUGAUGGUAUGGUGAUGGUCACAUCUCCCUGAAGAGGCUGAUAAAAAUGGUGGUGGAAGCUGGCAGAUACGUGACACUAGGGAGCUAUUCUCCAGGACCCAUCAUGUUGAGGCCCCAGCAAAAUAUGUAAUGCUCAAGUAUGUGGUGCAUUUUGUCCCUGUCAACAAGCAGCUUCCAGAUUGCAGAAAACAUUCGUCCAGCAAGUUUAUGAUGCCGUACAGCAAAAUCUCUGGACCAACAAGGACCAUAACUAGCAUUUCUGAUCAUCCUAAUGUUCUAACAAUUCUUUGGUUGCAGAGAGGGGAAAGAAUAAUAGAUUAGGAUGCAAGUAGCCGAGGGAUCUAAAAGGAGUUUGCUGCAAUAGUUGCUCAAAAACUUGGAACAGCAAGUAAAAGAAACAGAAUCUUGGACUAGCAUGAAGGAAAUGAUUGACAUCAACGUGCACGAAGUUGUCAAAACAUUAUUGAUUUGACUAAUUCAAUGUCUGCACAGGUAGGAUAAGCAUUCUUGUGUUUAAGAUGCGAAGAUCACAAGGGGUUAUCUGAA